AGCGAACGCUGGCGGCAGGCCUAACACAUGCAAGUCGAACGAACUCUUCGGAGUUAGUGGCGGACGGGUGAGGAACACGUGGGAACGUGCCUUUUGGUUCGGAAUAACUCAGGGAAACUUGUGCUAAUACCGAAUGUGCCCUUCGGGGGAAAGAUUUAUCGCCAUUAGAGCGGCCCGCGUCUGAUUAGCUAGUUGGGGAGGUAACGGCUCACCAAGGCGACGAUCAGUAGCUGGUUUGAGAGGAUGACCAGCCACACUGGGACUGAGACACGGCCCAGACUCCUACGGGAGGCAGCAGUGGGGAAUCUUGCGCAAUGGGCGAAAGCCUGACGCAGCCAUGCCGCGUGAAUGAUGAAGGUCUUAGGAUUGUAAAAUUCUUUCACCGGGGACGAUAAUGACGGUACCCGGAGAAGAAGCCCCGGCUAACUUCGUG
rnacentral:rRNA from 1 species